rnacentral:rRNA from 1 species
GAUGAACGCUGGCGGCGUGCCUAAUACAUGCAAGUCGAGCGAACGGACGAGAAGCUUGCUUCUCUGAUGUUAGCGGCGGACGGGUGAGUAACACGUGGAUAACCUACCUAUAAGACUGGGAUAACUUCGGGAAACCGGAGCUAAUACCGGAUAAUAUUUUGAACCGCAUGGUUCAAAAGUGAAAGACGGUCUUGCUGUCACUUAUAGAUGGAUCCGCGCUGCAUUAGCUAGUUGGUAAGGUAACGGCUUACCAAGGCAACGAUGCAUAGCCGACCUGAGAGGAUGAUCGGCGACACUAGAACUGAGACACGGUCCAGACUCCUACGGGAGGCAGCAGUAGGGAAUCUUCCGCAAGGGGCGAAAGCCUGACGGAGCAGCGCCGCGUGAGUGAUGAAGGUCUUCGGAUCGUAAAACUCUGUUAUUAGGGAAGAACAGAUGUGUAAGUAGCUGUGCACAUCUUGACGGUACCUGAUCAAAAAGCCACGGCUAACUACGUG